rnacentral:rRNA from 1 species
AUUGAACGCUGGCGGCAGGCCUAACACAUGCAAGUCGAACGCGUGGCGGACGGGUGAGUAAUGUCUGGGAAACCGCCUGAUGGAGGGGGAUCACUACUGGAAACGGUAGCUAACACCGCAUACCCUCGGAUGUGCCCAUAUGGGAUUAGCUAGUAGGUGGGGUAUAGGCUCACAUAGGCGACGAUCCCUAGCUGUUCUGAGAGGAUGACCAGCCACACUGGAACUGAGACACGGUCCAGAUGCCUACGGGAGGCAGCAGUGGGGAAGAUUGCACAAUGGGCGCAAGCCUGAUGCAGCCAUGCCGCGUGUAUGAAGAAGGCCUUCGGGUUGUAAAGUACUUUCAGCGGGGAGGCGUUACCCGCAGAAGAAGCACCGGCUAACUCCGUGCCAGCAGCCGCGGUAAUUC